rnacentral:rRNA from 1 species
GAUGAACGCUGGCGGCGUGCCUAACACAUGCAAGUCGAGCGGAGGUUUCCGAAGUAGUAAUACGGAGGGGAUUUCAGCGGCGGACGGGUGAGUAACACGUGAGUAAUCUGCCUUCUGCAGGGGAAUAACAUUGUGAAAACAGUGCUAAUACCGCAUGACGUCCGACCGGGGCAUCCCGGAUGGACCAAAGGAGAAAUCCGGCAGGAGAUGAACUCGCGUCCGAUUAGCUAGUUGGCGGGUAACGCCCACCAAGGCUUCGAUCGGUAGCCGAACUGAGAGGUUGAUCGGCCACAUUGGGACUGAGACACGGCCCAGACACCUACGGGAGGCAG